CCUACGGGCGGCAGCAGUGGGGAAUAUUGCACAAUGGGGGAAACCCUGAUGCAGCGACGCCGCGUGAGUGAGGAAGUAUUUCGGUAUGUAAAGCUCUAUCAGCAGGGAAGAAAAUGACGGUACCUGACUAAGAAGCCCCGGCUAACUACGUGCCAGCAGCCGCGGUAAUACGUAGGGGGCAAGCGUUAUCCGGAUUUACUGGGUGUAAAGGGAGCGUAGACGGUUAAUCAAGUCAGAAGUGAAAACCCAGGGCUCAACCUUGGGACUGCUUUUGAAACUGAGUAGCUAGAGUGCAGGAGAGGUAAGCGGAAUUCCUAGUGUAGCGGUGAAAUGCGUAGAUAUUAGGAGGAACACCAGUGGCGAAGGCGGCUUACUGGACUGUAACUGACGUUGAGGCUCG
rnacentral:rRNA from 1 species